rnacentral:rRNA from 1 species
GACGAACGCUGGCGGCGUGCUUAACACAUGCAAGUCGAACGGAAAGGCCAUGCUUUUGUGCGGUGCUCGAGUGCCGAACGGGUGCGUAACACGCGAGUAACCCGCACUUGACUUUCGGAUAACUUCAGGAAACUGGGGCUAAUAUCGGAUAGGAGCUCUUGCUCCACGGUGUGGGUUAGAAAGUUUCGGCGGUUGGGGAUCGACUAGCGGCUUCUCAGCUAGUUGGUGUGGUUGUGGCUGACCAAGUCUUUGACGGGUAGCCGGCCUGGGCGGGUGACCGGGCACAGUGGGACUGAGAUAGGGACCAGAAUGCAAUGGGAGGCAGCAGUGGGGAAUAUUGCGGAAUAAGCGGAAGCCUGAGGCAGCAGUGCCGCGUGCGGGAGGACGGCUUACGGGUGGAAAACCGAUGUCGCAUGUGACAAAGAGUGAGUGACGGUAACGGGUAAAGAAGCAACGGCUAACUACGUG